UUGCGGUAAAACCUUUUAAACAAAUUCUAUCCAACGUGCAUCUAAUUGUUCAUAUGUGAAUAAUUCCUCUGUCCUGGAAUUUGAGGCGAAAUUCUGCUGCCUCGCAUCGCCUGAUUGGCAGAUGCAAGCUGGCCAAUCAGGCCACCUGGAGCAGAGAGCAUGUUACUUGGAUGUCCAUUGUUUUUGGUGUGAAUAGAAUGACUGGCUGGGUCGGAUGAUAAGGCUUACAAAGGACUUUUUGCUGACAGCAUCAUUCCUAUUCCUGUUCUGAGGACACUGACUCAGUUCUGCAUAGUCUGCGCUCAGCUUGUUUCACCAUUCGCGGCCAUUUUAAUCCAUUGCAAUGUUCAGGACCUGAAGGGCACAUGGCAAGACAAAGCCCUGCCCAGACAAGCAGCUACUGUCUUCCAGGCAUUUGUUGAGCACAUCCUUACUCAGGAGGCAUAUAAUAUACUGCUGUCUAGGGCUGUAUAGCUGCAGGUGGAAAUCAGAGAUAAAGCAGCUCUGAUGAAGGAAAAGAGGCCAGAUUUUGGCCAUUUCAGUCCACCGUAAAUACUAGCUGGUGGUCCUUUUGGACUGUAGUUCCAGGCCUCAUACUUGGUUGCUACUAUUUCUGUUUAUCCUUCCAGUUUCAACUAUAAGCAGAUUGAGAUAAAUACUUCUAUUUCAAAUAAUACACCACAAGGCACCGAUGUACAGUUAUUCUGACGUUGAUAUACUCAGUGAUCAGACAAGACCUAUCCAUGCUCCAAUUUCAUACUUGCCCCUACUGUGUCCUUGAAGGCUGGGCUGAGUCUUCCUUUGCAGCGGCUCUAGGUGCAGCUUUACUAGGGAGGCCCCUUAAUCAAGAAAACUGAUGACCUUCCUGUUUCCCACGCAGCACCAUGUAAUGCAGAAGCCUUGGGUGACUGUGGACUCUGCCUAUGGCUACAGUUGAGCUUAGAUGGACCAAUUUCUGUGGCUGAAAACAUCUGAAACCUUUCAGUCAUUGUUGGCUUUGAUUACUUCAACUUCAGCCACCUCCUACCUAAAGUGUCUGUGGAAUCGAGAACCAUCGAGGUUGGGGGCUGUAGUUGCCGUGAGACAAGUUCUUCAAAGUUAGACCUAAGAGCAGGUUUAUUAAAACCCAUAAACGAGUGAGUCUAGUAGGGAGACUUUCAAAAAUGAAAGUUAGCAAAGAAAUGAAAGAAGAUCUGUGGGAAAGAGGAAUCAAACUGGCAAACAAAACUAAAAUAUCAAAAGGCAGUUGGUACCAUUCACAAGGAACUGAGCAGAUGUAAAAAAAAGAACAUGAAUUUGAAACUACAGCUGUAAGAGUGAGGAACUGUUCUUUUGUACUUUUUCUUUGGAAUCUGCAAGCCAGCUGUGAGUAUUCAUGAUCUUCCAGUUAACUAGAGGCAUGUUGAGGGGCUUACGACCAGCAAGGGAGCACAGCAGUGACAGAUACGGCGUGUGCUACUCUUCCCGUUCUACAUGAGUGAUUAGGAUGGAAGACUACAGGAGAAGUGGAAUUUAAAUGGAUAUUCCUGUAAAGAAUCCGAUGGUCCAGGUUGAGCUGGAAGAUAUCAGUGAUCCAUGAUGCGCAUCACGAGCUAGAGAGGUCUUUUGUAGCCUGUAUUUAGUUUUACUCUGGGCUGUUUGGCACAUAUGAGCCUUGUGUGGGAACCUAGAGUGAUCAGGCAAGGCAAAGAGGUAAGUGAACCAGGACAAGAUACAUGCAUUUCAAGGAAGGCGACAAUCACCUUAUGUGGUCAUUAAUAAAGCAAAAGCUUGUCAAAGAAGGAAAAAAACACUCAGCACUUUGUCGUUUUGGAGAGGUGCAGUCUGGUACAGACCACUACGUGUACAUCGUUGCCCAGCAACCAAAGAACACAAUAACGUCAGUGAUAAUUUGGCACAACCUCUUCCUAAGGAGAGCACUCUACUCAUGGACAAGGAACUAACUGUCUUUAGGAGUAGUGCUUUCUGAUGGUGUUUCUGCUUGAUGCUGACGGCACAAUGAUUGUUCUGGUACCGGAGCUCCUGCGAGCAGCACUCUUCAAGGGAAUCUGCAAGCCCACCUGAUGGGUGGAUUCGGCUUUGCUCAGAGUGCGAGUCACUUGGAAAACAGGAGUGAUACAGGACAAUAAAGAAUGUUACCCAAAGGUAACCAAAAGGAGUGCCCAGGUUCCCAAAAGAUAAAGACAAAAGCCGUACCACUGCCCAACUCUCAAGAACUACCUGAUUCCUGCUAGGUCAAGAUCAAGAUCAUGAGGUAUCAAACAAUGGGCGCUUGGAAAAUGAAUGUAGUAAGUCACAAGUAAGUGGCCAUCCGGAGUAUUCCCUAGAACAGAAUGGGCAGCUAACAUCCUCCGAUCACACAGCACAAUUUUCCACUUGUGCAAGUUCAAAUUCAACAAAAACUAGCUCAAAGCUCAGUUCACAGAGAUUAAAAUGAGCUAGUCCGCAUUCAUAGUUCACAAUUUUGAAUUUUGAAGUAUGUUCACAAUCCCAAAAAAUAAACCAGUUCAGGAUCAUGUCGUCCAUUUUUUUUGUAUGAGUUGCUGUCAAUGCAAAGUGAAAAUUUCAAUCAGCAAUUAAAAUAUCACUAGCAUCACCUACCAUUAAGAAGCUCCUGUAGUCUACUUAAUUGAUAUAAACAAAUGACCGCAGCUCAUGCAAUUCAGCUUCAAUCUUAGAAUGUCUUGCAAACACAUUCUUGUUGCAUAAAAUUAGCCUCAUAUAUUCGAUAUUCAGUUUUCCAGAUGUAAUGUGUUUUGACAAAAGCAAGUCAGGCAGAUUUUAAUUUUUGUUGUCCAAUACA